UUUUUUUUUGCAAAUCCUUAAUGAAUUUCGUCUUCUUGCUUGCAAAAAAGCCUCGAUUUCUAUUUGCAUUUAUUAAAACACACGGAUUCAAGAUGAAUCCUCCCAAAACCAUUUAGUCCCACAUCGGUUGAUACACUGAUUUAGGGGAUUUAGAGCCUAUAUAAAGGACCUUAUACUUCACAAGAAAAACACACCACACAAGUCUAAAAAAAUCAAAAAAUAUACUUAGUAUACCUAGGGAUCUAGCAAUUUGCUAGAACCUUUAAUUUCCUGAGUUUAUAGUUUUAAAAUUUUAAUCUUACUUUUGGUUUGCGGCUGAGUUGAGUGGCUGAGGAGCUUGAAGGAUCUCCAAUUCAAUUGAUCGGCCAAGGCUACGCAUGAAAUAGGCUAAAGGGGAGACGAAGCGAACUUGGUUACGGUUAACCUAUAACAGGUACAGAUACUCGAUUCGGUGAUCCUCCAGCUUAGGAUUCCCACUCAGCUAUCUUGGAGAGCUCCGUUGUUCAGGAGCCUAGACUUUUGGUAGGUGCAGAUUGGCGAGAGAUGAAGAGGUCAGCUUCAGAUAGUGGGGGUGCUAGGAAGGCCCCUAGGGUAAGUUUAGGACCCCAGGCUCCAGGACCGAGCAGGAGGAGCCUCAGUUAUUCUAUCGAGACUGACCCCUCGGAGGACCCAGGGACAAUUCCUCCAGAGUUUAUGAUAUCUAGGGAGGCGGUCCCCGAGGCCGUACCAGUUGCUCCUAUGGCAGAGCACCACGUUAGACCGGCUACCUCGAUGAGGAAGAUGAUGAAGGCCAGACGAGUAGAUGGAGGGUAGAUGAUGACGAGGAGCACACCUCACCUUAUAGAUCACCAGAUCAGACUAGAGACCGAUCGACUACAGGCUAAAGGGGCGACGAAGCGAACUUGGUUACGGUUAACCUAUAACAGGUACAGAUACUCGAUUAGGUGAUCCUCCAGCUUAGGAUUCCCACUCAGCUGUCUUGGAGAGCUCCGCUGUUCCGGAGCCUAGACUUUUGGUACAGAUCUUUUGAUAUAUAUAUAUAUGUUUGUCCAGGGGUACGGCGGGGCCCUGUCCCGUCGUGUUUCACUGUUGAUACUCUUAGAGGUCUGUAGACAUAUGUGUGGGUUGUAUAUAGAUUAUGAUUAGUUGUGCCUAUAUGGUUUGUUGUGAAUAUUUCUGUUUAUUGUGGCAGCCUUGCCGGCUUGCAUAUGGUAUCGAUAUGUCGUGGCAGCUUUGUUGGUUUGCGUAGUUUAUUGACAUGUAGUGGCAGCCUUUUCGGCUUGCGUAUUAUAAUGAUAUAUAGUGGCUGCCUUGUCGGCUUGUGUAUUUUAUUACGUUGUGAUUGGUUGUGACUCCUCAGGAGACAGAUUAUCAUGAUA